CAGAGUGGAGCAGUCUGGUAGCUCGUCGGGUUCAUAACCCGAAGGUCGGUGGUUCGAAUCCAUCCUCUGUAUCCA
rnacentral:tRNA from 2 species